GACUAGUACCCUGCAAAUGCUUGUCAGAAAUUGGCUUGGAAGCCGGGCGCGGUGGCUCACGCCUGUAAUCCCAGCACUUUGGGAGGCCAAGGCGGGCGGAUCACGAGGUCAGCAGAUCGAGACCAUCCUGGCUAACACGGUGAAACCCCGUCUCUACUAAAAAUACAAAAAAAAAUUAGCCGGGCAUGGUGGCGGGCGCCUGUAGUCCCAGCUACUCGGGAGGCUGAGCCAGGAGAAUGGCAUGAACCCGGGAAGCGGAGCUUGCAGUAAGCCGCACCACUGCACUCCAGCCUGGGCGACAGAGUGAGACUCCGUCUCAAAAAAAAAAAAAGAAAGAAAGAAAUUGGCUUGGAGAUUUUUCGCCGGCCACUCCUUCUUGAGCCCUGACUGAAAAGAAACCAGGCCUGAGCGGAUUCGUGCAUGACAUCUCCCUGGACACAGGGAUGGGUUCACAAAGGGGUUGGAGUCACUGAGAUGUGAGGAGAAGUCUGCUGGCAGCUUCUGGGACAUUACACCCUGGUGCUGAAGAGAUCGCUGCCGGAAGAGGCUGUCUUCCUGGGCAUGUUGUCAGCAAACGGAAACCUAACAGAGACACUAUAAAGGCUACUAUUCCAAUGCUUCUGGAAUUGGUGCUGGGAGAACACUGACAGAGCCCUUCUCCUCUCCUGUCUUGGAGGGCUGAGGGUGGGCCGACCCAGCACGCAGGAGCUCAGAUCCUUCUCACUGAACCAGGCAGCAGAUCCACGCCGCGGGGCUUCCUCCCACGUGAGCAAACGCAAGAAACGACCCUGCAAAUCAAAGACGACCACCCGGGAGAAGCAGGAGAAACUCCCCAAUUUGAAGUGAAUGUAUCAACAUUUCAGAAAAGGUAGAAAGUGGAUGUUGCUGUUUAAUCUGCUCAGCAUCCCUCCCCCACCUCUUUUGAUAAUUGGCCUCAGCAGGGUGGGUGGCCCACGUCUUUAAUCCCAGCACUUUGGGAAGGCAAGACAGGUGAUCACAGGAGUUCCAGACCAGCCUGACCAACACAGUAAAACCCCGUCUCUACUAAAAAUACAAAAAUUAGCUGAGCAUGGUGGUGCACACCUGUAAUCCCAGCUACUUGGGAGGCUGAGGCAGGAGAAUCGCUUGAACCUGGGAGGCGGAGGUUGCAGUGAGCCAAGAUCACACCACUGCACUCUAGCCUGGACGACAGAGUGAGACUGUGUCUCAGAAAAAAAAAAAAAAGAUUCUGUCUCAAAAAAAAUUAUAAUAAUAAUUGGCCUCAUCCAGUGGACACAGUUCUGGGAAUGACACCGAGGCUAGGCCAAUUGGCCUCUCCUGAAAUGUUUCCCUGAAGCUGGAAAAGAGAAACGCUAUCCAGAGCUCAAAGGAGAUGAAUUUGAUGCUACUAGUGUUCAUGUUUCUAAUUAAGGGACAACAAUCUAACUGCAGAGGGAGGAAAUGAAGCCAGUGAAGCCAGGGGGAGAUGAGAGAGAGAAAGAGAAAGACAGGGAGAGAGAGAGAGCAGGAGAGAGAAUAGCACC